UCACCAUGUUUGUUUUAUUUUGAGGAUUGUAUAAAAUAUAUUUUUAAAUAUCUACACAUUCAUUUUGUUUCACUAAGACCUGCUAAGGAUGAUAUAUUGUUAGAAAUUUAAAACAUGGCAAUAGAAACAUCAGCGUUAAAACCCUAUUAAAUUUGAUUUUACUUUCAGUUGCCUGCUUCUUCUCAAACUCAGCAUCAUCAUUCUAGCCCAGUCUCUGGAUUAUUUAAAUUAUCUUGACUCUCGCCUUCCAUUAUUCACACCAUCUGAAACACUUUGGUGUGACUAAUCUUCCUAAGACUGAUAAUUCCAUUUUCUUACUUUCAGAAAUCUCCACUGGCUGCUAAAGUAAAUCUUCUUGAGUUAUGAUCAAAGGCAGUGCAUAAUGUGGGCUUCACCUUUCUCCCAGGGAAUAGUCCCUGGCACUGCCCUCCUGGGACCACGUGACUGUGCUGCUCAAAGUGGAGUCUCAAAACUGGUUCUGGUCCAGGGACUGUAUAUCGCGGAGUCAAGAGUGAGGACAGGCAUUUGGAAUGACUAUUUAGACAAUUUUAUGGUGCUUGAAAUUAUUGCAUCACUUAUAUUCUUUAACAAUGGACUCGUUUCAUUAACCAAGUUAUAAACUGAUUCGGAAGUCAACAAAUUCCACUGCACAAUAAAUAACAAAACAUGAAAUGUCACUUCUGUUCUUAAUGGGAUUUGAAUAUAAUGAGGAAGGAAGAGUAGAACUCUUCGGUUACAAGUGUAUUCUUGAAAAUCACAUCCAACUCUGAACUGUAUAAAACCAUAAGGAAUUAUGUUGUCGUAAGAAGUGGUUUGGAGUCUUUUCUAGAGGUAAUCUGUUGGAGCAAGCCUUGGUCUUUGCAAGCAGAGCAUAUUCAAGGGAUUUUAUAAAGGGACUGUACAUGCUGAUGUGGGUGAAGCUAAGGAAACAGACAAGAAAUGUUGAUGUCUUCCAGGGUCCCACACACACAUAAAGGGGGAUCCAGCAUUCCUUUAAGCCUGUACCUAAAAGCUGAGGAAGUAAUGUUUCCAGAACCCGGGUGAGAAUCGGAGCAACAGAAGAAGAUAUCACCAUACAGGGAUGAAGCCCUGGGCAGGACCACACUAAAUCAGGGGAUGCAGGAAACAAAUAUUCUCUGUCGCUCUCCCCUCUAGCUUUGCAAUCCUCUGCCAGUUUCUUGCACGGGCUGAAAUGAACUAGGUGCUGGGGAGCAGGCAACCCCAUGGGACCUGAGCUGUAAAAGUCAGCGUCCCAGAUUAUGAAGUGUGCAACAGCAGCAGAGACAGACGGAGAGUUAAUCCAGGGAAAGGAGAACCUAGAGCUUGUGUUUUUCCCUCUUAACCUGUUAACUUUUAAGACUUUUCUCUUUGACUUUGAGGUUUCAGCUUAUCUGAUAGUCUUAGACACAGACUUGCUUUCAUUGGUCUCAUUCAUAAGCUCGUAUCUUCUUUCCAUCUGACAAUCUUCAUCUUGACUUCAGUCUGGCAAAUGGCCAGUCCUUGAGUGCUCAUCCUACAAUUCCUAUUUUCCUGCUGUAGUUGGGCAGGCUGUCUACUUUUCUUCAUUCUCAAUCCCCAUCCACCCUCUCAGAUCAUUAGUAGAGAGGUUGUGUUUAAUGGAAUUUCAUUGUGGAAAACAUUCUAUAAAUAUAUUUCAAGUUUGCUACUGCUAAAGCAUUAGGAUUUUACCUGUUCUAGACUCAUUUUGAUACUCAAAAAACAACAACAGUGAUCACACCAUGCAAAUCCUCUAUGUCCUCCCCUUUGUGUCCUAACAGAAUUCUAAGAUUUCUGAUUUCUGACCAUGAACUCUAUUUCUAACUGUGGCUCUUGUUUGCUUGCAAUCUUCUUUGCCCCUUUCUUAGGAUAGUGAGAGCAUUUGUUUUUUUCUGUUCCUAGAUGCAUGAACAAUGCAGCUCUUAGAGGUUUUAAGCUCUUAAAGGUUUUUAUACCAUUGACGUGUUCCAACUCUGCUUCACAGAAACCCGAACUCUCAUUUCCUGUACCGACUUAGGAAUUAAUACCAUUUCUCCUAAUUCCGACUUGUGGGUCCAAAGCCUCCUACAGCAAGUCUUGAUUCUUUUAGCUUUGAACACAUACUUAAAAAUACACUUGAUUUUGUUUUUUCUGGUUUGGAACUCAGCUAUCUUAUAUUUUGUCAAGCAUUUCUAUGUGUUUGGAAGAGAGGGCAACCCAUCCUCUCUGAACGGUACUGAACAGUUUAGUUAUUGACAGUACUGAACAGUUUAGUUCAGUACUGUCACCUACAUGAUAUAUGAGAGACAGCACUCUCCCAAGCCUGUGAAUAGGAAACCUGAAACUAUUCUAAAUAAUUCUGUUUAAUACGCUUUUUUUCUCUUCUGAGAUGACCAGCAGAAUAUGACAGUUUGCGUUUUUAAUGGGCAGAAGGGGAAUUGAAUAGUUCCUCUCUUGAGGCCCUUCAGAAACGUUAGAAAAUUGUUUUCUUCUUCGCACCUGACUGAGUUGCCAUUAGCAGUGUGACUGAUGUCUCUGCUUUGUCUUGGGAGACUGCGUAUUUGUGAACAGUUCACUUUCAUGUUGAGAAUUACUUCCAGCAGAAUUUUGUUUCUUUUCAUAUGUGUAAGCCACAGUGCUCAGUUAUCUGUAAGUAUCUGCCAAGCAGCAAUAGGUUUCUUCUUCUAUCAAACAAUAUGGUUGCUUUUGUAUAAGAUCCACUCAUUACUGUCCAAGGAAUUUAAAAACUUAUUCUUUCCAUUUCUUUAGCAAUAGACUUGCUAUUCUUAUUUAUUAUUUCAGUUUAUCUUAUAACACACAACAGUCUCUGGUAUUUUUCAAGUGUAGGGCUGAGCUCCUUGUAAUUAUAAUUUACAGAUCAACUCUCCCAGUUAGGUAUUAUCUCAAUAUACGGUGGAAAGAAUUAACACUCACACAGGCUGAGUAACUUGCCCAGGUUCCUGGUAACAAAGAUGGAAUUUGAAUUAAGUUUUAUAUCAUUGUAUAUCCUAAAAACUACAUACCACUCUCAUGGCUUUCAACUUUCCAGAUAUACAAAUUGUAACAGAGAUGUUGCUUAACACAUUCUUGGCCAAAUACUCAUCUAACUCCUUUGACUUUCAAGUCAGUAUAUUUUCUACUGUAGAACACUUUUCUAAAAUUAGAAGGUGUGUUCUUCCCACUUUCGUUUUGUCCAGAAUCCCUGCCCAGGACAUAUUCAAGCCUGGAAUGCAAGCUAUUAGGGCUCUUGGCAGCAUUUUCAUGCCUGCAUUUGUGAGGAGCCACAACACUGAAAGAUAAAUACGUAGAAAUUCUACCAAAAUAAUUAACACAUCUCAUUGAUCCUACUUAUACUUUUAUUCAACCAGUUCAAAGUCUUUUUGUGUGUAUCACAUGCCAGGAAAUGUGGCAGGAGUUGGGAAAUUGGGGAAAACUAAGACUCAGUGCCUAGUCUUUGUAAGUUCAGAAUCAAGAAUUAAAAUAGGUAUACAAUACAUAGAUUAAAACAAGAUCUUAUGAACACAGCGGAAUCAUGUACACAAUGGAGAUACAGUAAAGACAUAGACCAGAGAAAAUAACGUUAGUUGAUGAGGAGGUAGUCAGAUUUUAUCUUUAGCAGAAGGAAUUUUAAUUAAUACCAUUCCAAUAUGGUAGAGAUUUCCCUACUUAAACCUGAGGACCUCUGGAGCUAUGUUGUUCCCUGAAUAUUAUUAAAAUGCUUUAGUCAUUCAGUUAGUCAAAAAUAUUAUUGAAUGCCUUUGCUUUUCCAGGAACUGUGGGGUGCUAAAUUUGGUAAACAAAGCCAUGACCCUUACCAACAGGUAGUUUAGUUUAAUGGGGAAGAUAUUUGUUACUCAAAUGAACUGAAAUGUACAUAAACAAACAACUAUGGAAUCAAUACUUCAGGAACUAGAUUUAAGGCACUUGGAUGAAUCAUUCUGCAUUCAAGAAGCAGUGAUAUGCCAACAAAGAUGCCCCUGCUAAUUCGGGAUUUUAUGCUUAAUUUCUGAAAUGACAAUAAUUUUCCAAGUGGUGUUGAUAAGUUUUCCUAAGAAUAGCCAUUCUGAGCCUGCAUUUGUCAUAGGUUGCUGAUUCAUCAAUUCUGAUUACAAAGGGAACAAGGCUAAUCAUGGAUGGAGACUGAGAGAAAAGAGAAGAUGACGUUAACCUGCUCUGUGAUUAACAGAAUCAAAACCAAAAUGAAGCAAAGCAAAUGAAAACAACGGAAGCCUAGCUCCAGACUACAGUAAUAUUAAUGUAGUUAUUUUGCUCCUUAACGACUUGUUUUCUUAAUUCAAUAAAACUUCUGGGACUAAAUACUAAAUUCUCUGUGGUGAAUGGUACUCAGAAUUGUGUUUUGUGUUUGUGAGCCUGUGUGUUUUUUGUGAGUGUAUUGGAGGCACAGAUGUUAAGCAGAGAAAGGUUAUUGGAGAACAUUAUUUGACCAUGUAAUUAUCUUCCAAAUGCUUGAUGUUGGUCAGUAAGAGCAGGAGAGACUGUGGCCAGGAAAGUAGUCAAUGUUUCUGAAGAAAUGGGACUGCCAGACAAAUUACAGUUAGUAGAAGCUGUGGUUUGUGAAAUAGUAACAAUGAUGCCAGAUAAAUUGGAUGAGGAAGAAGCAAGAGGGAGGGGAUAGAAUGGUGGUUGAAAGAAGAAAAAUGGUAGUGUGGGGGAAGCUAAUGUGAGUAGCACCGGGUGUAGGAGAGGAGUUAAUGUUUUAUACCUAUUUGUCUAGAAAUAAGAUGAGGGUCUGAUUUUAUUUUCUCUGCUUCACCUCCCAUUUCUAUAAAACUUAUUUUCAAGUGUAAAUGAGGAACUACUUUUAUCUGCUCACAUUGUUUUAAGACUGGACACAACGCAAGUGUUUUAAUACAUUGAGUCUGUGGAGCAAAAAUGAAUUUCGAGUCAGAUUUGAAUAUGCAGAAAUAUCACUCAUGUAUUUCUCAAUAAUGGAAGUGAAUUUAAACAUUGGGUUAUCAUCUCUGCUUGGUUGCAGAAAACAAUUUUUCCAAUUCAAGGUAAAUUUAGUCAUUUUUAGAUUAGUUUACUUUCUAGAUAAAUAUUUAGUUUGCUUGGGAAUUGCUCCUUGCAUUUUCCCUCCUAUUUCUGGUGUCAGGAAAAGAGUAUCUUGUUAUUUUAUUAUUUACCUUCAUAAUUUUUUUUUCAGCCAGAGAAAACCACGUUAUAUACAAGAAAGUUGACUAAUGCUGCAUCAUAUUAAAACAAGAUGAAUGAUCUGUUUACAUGUUAUCAUGGUUACAUGAACUACAACCAACAAAAACAACACAAAUCUCAACACUCAUUUGAAUAAGAUUUAUGAAGAACCAGGGACUACCUGCGGAAAACAUUUUCUGCCUAUUGUGUGUGUGUAAACCUACACCAACCAGAGUGAUGAACAUUAAGAUCGCAACUAUUUCUUUCAUGUCACCUACAGUAAAGAUCAUUCUAUAAUUUUAUUCCACAGAAAAGGCUGAAAUUGAUGGGAAUGUAAUGAAUUCUGAGAUGUAAAUGAAAAUUGAGGUAAUUUUGUUACUUCAAUCACUUUAUUGCCAUAUCUCUAUACCCAAAGAUUAAGGGCAAAAUCUUCACCAGUGAUUAUAAGAAGUGCAGCAUUUUUAAAAUAAGCAAAGCCUGGAAUAACAGAAUCCUGCAUAAAAUUAUAAAGAAAGCAUAUUCAUGCAAUGCACAAAGCUUCCAUUUGUGGAGUUGAGCUGAUGAGUUUGCAUCACCACCACUCAAAUCUAUGAGCACAGGAGGAGCUGGGCUUUGAACUUUGUUCUGAUUAGAAAGGAAGGUAAGCUCACAACUUGGGAGUCAAAUCACCAUCAGUAGGUCCCUCUACUGACUGAUUUGGACAAAAAAAGUAUUCUACUGCUCCGAUGACAUCAUUUGAAAGUGAGCUUCUUAUUUGAUGUUGAGAAGUGUGCUAUAGUGACUGGGAAGGCAUCAAGAGGCUGACAGGACUGAGAAAUCAUUAUUUUUAGCAAAUAAUGUCAAAUUUCCUAAAGCCAACUACUAGCAUUUUCUUAAUAUCUGUAUUGUAAGUUUUAAGAUACAAUGUUUAAAACAUACACACAAUUAGAGGACAUAGUAAAAUAAGGCCUUGGUUACUUUUUCUGCAAUAUCUUAAAGCAAAUUUUAGACAUCACAGCACAUCUCUCGUAGACGCUUCUACUUGCAGCAUUUCUAAUACAGACUUUUUUGGGGGGCAACAGUUUUAUUGAGAUAGAGUUCACGUAUGAUAUAACUUACCCUGUGAUGUGUAUAAAUCAAUGAUUUUUAGUGUAUUCUCAGAGCUGUGCAACCAAAAUCACACUCAAUUUUGGAAUACUUUAGUCAGUCCUUCCUACCACAAUAACCCUUAGCUAUCAUCCCCAAUCCCCACUCCCCACCCUUGGUCCUAGGCAACCAUUUAUCUAGUUUCCAUCUUUACAGUAUUGCCUAUCCUGUGCAUUUCAUGUAAAUGGAAUUAUGCAAUAUAUGAUCUUUUAUUUGGCUACUUUGACUUAACAUUUCACUAAGUUUUCAAGGUUUAUCCACAUUGAGCAUGAUUCAGUACUUAUUUUUUUUUAUGGGCAAAAAAUAUUCAAUU